rnacentral:rRNA from 1 species
UACGAAGGGGGCGAGCGUUGUUCGGAAUUACUGGGCGUAAAGGGCGCGUAGGCGGCCGAUCAAGUCAGAUGUGAAAGUCCUGGGCUUAACCUGGGGACUGCAUUUGAUACUGAUUGGCUUGAAUUCGGGAGAGGAUAGCGGAAUUCCCAGUGUAGAGGUGAAAUUCGUAGAUAUUGGGAAGAACACCGGUGGCGAAGGCGGCUAUCUGGACCGACAUUGACGCGUG